rnacentral:snoRNA from 1 species
AAAUUCUGGGUUUAAAACUCUUUUCUUUAAGAAUGUUGAGGCAGAGGCACCCAUUUCAUUCCCAGUUUGCUCUGUAGCUGGCAAUUGGAAGAUACUCUGUGACAGUG